rnacentral:rRNA from 1 species
UACGAAGGGGGCUAGCGUUGUUCGGAUUUACUGGGCGUAAAGCGCACGUAGGCGGAUCGUUAAGUCAGAGGUGAAAUCCCGGAGCUCAACUCCGGAACUGCCUUUGAUACUGGCGAUCUCGAGUCCGGAAGAGGUAAGUGGAACUCCUAGUGUAGAGGUGGAAUUCGUAGAUAUUAGGAAGAACACCAGUGGCGAAGGCGGCUUACUGGUCCGGAACUGACGCUGAGGUGCGAAAGCGUGGGGAGCAAACAGG